AUGGCUCAGGAUGAACGCUAGCGACAGGCCUAACACAUGCAAGGUCGAGGGGCAGCGCGGGAGAAGCUGCUUUCCUGGCGGCGACCGGCGCACGGGUGCGUAACAGGUGUGCAAUCUGUCCAGUAGUCGGGGGAUAGCCCAGCAAAGCUGAAUUAAUACUCCAUGUGAAUCGAAGCCGCAUGACUUUGAUUUGAAACGCAAGGACUAUGGGUGAGCACGCUUCUGAUUAGGUAGUUGGUGGGGUAACGGCCCACCAAGCCGACGAUCAGUAGGGGUUCUGAGAGGAAGGUCCCCCCACAUUGGAACUGAGACACGGUCCAAACUCCUACGGGAGGCAGCAGUGAGGAAUAUUGGUCAAUGGGCGAGAGCCUGAACCAGCCAAGUCGCGUUGAAGGAUGAAGGUUCUAUGGAUUGUAAACUUCUUUUGUCCGAGGGUAAAAAAGGCCACGUGUGGCUUCUUGCAAGUAUCGGACGAAUAAGCAUCGGCUAACUCCGUGCCAGCCGCAGC
rnacentral:rRNA from 1 species